rnacentral:lncRNA from 1 species
GCUGACGUCACUACCCUGGCUUGGAGAGGCUGUUGCUGAGCCGGCUCCAACCGGCUGGAAGGCGGGAAGCUGUUUCGCCUGGAGGCUCGCGCGCUUUUUGGAAUUCAGUUAUCAAGCUUUAGAGCCUGGCUACUCACAGUUGAAGCCUGAUUGCAGGUCAGCAAUGCUAAACGUUAAAUGCCUCUUAUAUUUAGGGGAUAAGGACUCCGUGGAGGUUUUCUCUGGUCCCAGCUCCUGCUUUUUACUUUUCUUGGGGGUGGGAGGGAUAGAUCAAGCCCCCAUUAAUUUUUACUGCCACCGUCGACUCUUGUGUAGAAAGCUUUGAAGUCUGAGACCUGGGUUUUCAGCUCAACAUCUCAGCUUGGUUCCUUGACUGCAAAGUAGGUAUAAUUGUUUGUAGCCCAG